rnacentral:rRNA from 1 species
AUGAUUAAAGAUAGCUUGCUAUUUUUAUGAAGAGCGGCGAACGGGUGAGUAACGCGUGGGAAAUCUGCCGAGUAGCGGGGGACAACGUUUGGAAACGAACGCUAAUACCGCAUAACAAUGAGAAUCGCAUGAUUCUUAUUUAAAAGAAGCAAUUGCUUCACUACUUGAUGAUCCCGCGUUGUAUUAGCUAGUUGGUAGUGUAAAGGACUACCAAGGCGAUGAUACAUAGCCGACCUGAGAGGGUGAUCGGCCACACUGGGACUGAGACACGGCCCAGACUCCUACGGGAGGCAGCAGUAGGGAAUCUUCGGCAAUGGGGGCAACCCUGACCGAGCAACGCCGCGUGAGUGAAGAAGGUUU